rnacentral:rRNA from 1 species
GCAGUCGAGCGGUACAGAUCUAGCUUGCUAGAUGCUGACGAGCGGCGGACGGGUGAGUAACGCGUAGGAAUCUACCGAGUAGUGGGGGAUAGCCCAGAGAAAUUUGGAUUAAUACCGCAUACGCCCUACGGGGGAAAGGAGGGGAUCUUCGGACCUUUCGCUAUUUGAUGAGCCUGCGUAAGAUUAGCUAGUUGGUAGGGUAAAGGCCUACCAAGGCGACGAUCUUUAGCUGUUCUGAGAGGAUGAUCAGCCACACUGGGACUGAGACACGGCCCAGACUCCUACGGGAGGCAGCAGUGGGGAAUAUUGGACAAUGGGGGCAACCCUGAUCCAGCCAUGCCGCGUGUGUGAAGAAGGCCUUCGGGUUGUAAAGCACUUUCAGAUGUGAGGAAAGGAUAGUAGCUAAUAACUGCUAUCUGUGACGUUAACAUCAGAAGAAGGACCGGCUAACUCCGUGCCAGCAGCCGCGGUAAUACGGAGGGUCCGAGCGUUAAUCGGAAUUACUGGGCGUAAAGCGCGCGUAGGCGGCUAAGUCAGUCAGAUGUGAAAGCCCCGGGCUCAACCUGGGAAUUGCACCUGAUACUGCUUGGCUAGAGUACAGAAGAGGGUGGUGGAAUUUCCUG